AUUGAACGCUGGCGGCAGGCCUAACACAUGCAAGUCGAGCGGCAGCGGGAAAGUAGCUUGCUACUUUUGCCGGCGAGCGGCGGACGGGUGGGUAAUGCCUGGGAAAUUGCCCAGUCGAGGGGGAUAACAGUUGGAAACGACUGCUAAUACCGCAUACGCCCUACGGGGGAAAGCAGGGGAACUUCGGGCCUUGCGCGCUUGCAUAUGGCCAGGUGGGAUUAGCUAGUUGGGGAGGUAAUGGCUCACGAAGGCGACGAUCACUAGCUGGUCUGAGGGGAUGAUCAGCCACACUGGAACUGAGACACGGUCCAGACUCCUACGGGAGGCAGCAGUGGGGAAUAUUGCACAAUGGGGGAAACCCUGAUGCAGCCAUGCCGCGUGUGUGAAGAAGGCCUUCGGGUUGUAAAGCACUUUCAGCGAGGAGGAAAGGUUGAUGCCUAAUACGUAUCAACUGUGACGUUACUCGCAGAAGAAGCACCGGCUAACUCCGUGCCAGCCGCCGCAGUAAAAC
rnacentral:rRNA from 1 species